GGGCGGUGUGGAGCUCUAAGGCGUAGGAGCCUCGGGGAGGGUGAGCCAAGAGGGACGUGGCGCUCUGCGGCGCGGACUAGGAAGCCGCGCCCCUUCCUUCUCGGGCUUUCAUGGAGAAUCCUGUGGAGCAGGAUUUGGGUAAAACUCCAAACUUGGGGCUUUGGCACUAAUGGAAAAUCUCCUGAUGGGGAGAAGGACGAAGAACACACUACUGCACUGUUCAAGGAAGAAAACAAGGCUUUGGAGUCAAAACUAGGUCCCAACCCUGCCUAAAUUAAAAACCCGGUUCUAUCUUUAUUAGUUGAGUGUCCUCUGCCAAGUAACUUAACCUUUGUCCAUAGCAUAGCUUCCUUAUUUAUAACAUGGAGGCAAUAAUAGUUCCCACUUCAUAAACAUGUGAGGAUUAAAUGAGUUCAUAUUUGUAA
ensembl:lncRNA